rnacentral:rRNA from 1 species
CAGUAGCCGCGGUAAUACAGAGGGUGCGAGCGUUAAUCGGAUUUACUGGGCGUAAAGCGUGCGUAGGCGGCUUCUUAAGUCGGAUGUGAAAUCCCUGAGCUUAACUUAGGAAUUGCAUUCGAUACUGGGAAGCUAGAGUAUGGGAGAGGAUGGUAGAAUUCCAGGUGUAGCGGUGAAAUGCGUAGAGAUCUGGAGGAAUACCGAUGGCGAAGGCAGCCAUCUGGCCUAAUACUGACGCUGAGGUACGAAAGCAUGGGGAGCAAACAGGAUUAGAUACCCCUGUAGUCCCUGUCUCCUAUAA